UUUUUCUUCUUAUUAUUGAUCCUGUUGUCCGUUUCCUCCCUUUCUGUUUUCUUUGACACCAUUAUAUGUGAAUAGUAAAGUUUUUCCAAUGGUGUUAGGGAUUACUAUUGGAUUGUAGAUAAGGUCUACUGUUGUAAUUCCUUGCAUGAAACCCCAUCUUAUUUUGGGGAUGAGGCAGGGAAGAGGAUAGUCCUAGGAUGAUUAGUAUUUGUGAUAAAUGGUGUCCUCUUAUCUAAUCUGUUCGAAAUAUUUAUUUUUGGAUCAUAGAGGCUGCUUCCAAAACUUCUAUAAAUUUAUGGUUGGCUCUGUUAUUAUUAUAGAUAUGGAGACACUUGAUAUAUAUAUAUAUAUACUCUUUCUGGUUUCCUUUUGCAUUGUACUCGCCGGACGUUACAUUCUUCUCAUUGAGUG